GCUGCCGAAAUUGUUCUCCGUACACAAAAUGUUGCUGGGGAAUCUGAAACUAAGACUAUAUUUGUACCGGCGCGCGCAAAAUUCCGCAUUCACGUGUAUAGUACGAGAAAGAAAGAAACUCGAAAAUUUCAGCAUGUCCGGCAGGGAAGGUGGAAAAAAGAAGCCCCUGAAGCAGCCCAAGAAAAAGGGCGGUGAAUUAGAUGAAGACGAUAUGGCUCAUAAGCAGAAAAUGAAAGAAGAACAGAAGAAAUUAAAGGAAGCUCAAGCUAUGGCGGGAAAGAAGGGCCCUAUGGGUGGUAGUGGUAUCAAGAAAUCAGGAGGAGGAGGAGGAGGAAAGAAAAAAUGACGAAAUUUUUUACUAAUUUGACUCCUGCUGAUUGAUGAAAGCAAGCACCGGAACAGCGGGAAUGGGACACAUCGCCUCAACAAACUUUAGUCUUACUAUCAUUAUACUAUCAUUCUUUUAUUCUAUGGAGAUUAGGUGACAUAUACUGCAUUGCGUUGAACUUCACGCUCCUCGUUACAGCUGAAGCAACUUAUUUUUGAGAGAAAAAGUUAGAAAUGUAAUAUUUGAAUGCUGUUGACUGCCUUGGAGGGUAAUAUGACAUAGUUGGUUCAAAUAGUAUAACAUUGCCCCUUUGGCUGUAUGCCAUUUGAUGCCAAAGCAACAAUCUGAUUUAUUAAUAUCAGACAAAGAAAUAUACCUGGAGAAGAAAAUUCUCUGUUGACCUUUUCCCUUGGAUGCCCAUAAGCUGAGAUAACAGAAUAAAAAUUAAUCUUAAUUUAAUAACCUUCCAAAUAUUUACAUCUUUGUGUCAAUGUUCAAUAUUUGUGUACAGAUGUUCAUGAUCACUUGUAAAUACUGGGGGGAAUAGGUAGUGAACAAAUAUGUACAGCCACGAAAGGAGAUGCAAGGUGAUGCAAACGAAACUAUAUUCCUACAGGAAAUGGUUGCAGGCAUCACUGAGGGGACCAUAGUUUCAUCAAAACCUCUGAAAACCGUGUAUAUUGUGUUUAUAUCCGUCACUGGUAUUAAAUGCAACAGAUAUAGGAAUUAUGAUGGAAUGAAUAACGAUAAUGAAUUGCAGUAUUUGCAAGAGAUUGAAAUGUCACAAAUAACAAAAUAAGUUAUAAGUGACUGAUCAUCUCCUGCACAUGCACCGGGUUGUCAAAAACAAACGCUACAUACAUCACCAUGCUUUCCAAAGUCUUGAAAUUGCCAUCUUAUCAAGACACACAACCUGUCCAGAAAUCCAUGCCCAACUUCAUAUCCGUAGCUUUGAUUGAAAGGUUAAGAUAGCUGUUGAUUCUCUGUCGACAUUUUCAGAAGUGCAUUACAAGAACAAGGCCCUGUGUUAUCAAUGGCAAGCUCACAAUAUUGAAAAGGUUCGAAUUUGAUUAAGAGCAAGUUCGUCAUAGAAUCAAUUCUAGCCGUUUGGUUUUAUGAAACGGUCAAUGUGGAGGCGGUUGUACCACGUCAAUAAGGAAUUAUGAUCAUGUUCAUAAUUUAAGUGAUCGUCUUCCUGGUUUUCUCUUCAUUUUUAUUUCUGACAUUGUGCAUGUACAUAAUCAUAUGUUAUCAAUAUAGUUGCAAUAGGAAUAGGUGCUGAAAUCACUGUUACUUGAGAUCAGGAUUUUGAAAGAAGUACAGGAAUUUCAGGGAAUAUUAUUACGUAUGUCUAAUUCAUACAGAUAGCCCCCAAUAUGGGUGUUCUGGCAUGUGCUUAUUAUCCAAGCUAAAUUGGGGGAGUCACAAAUUGAUGCAGAGGUUCAAGGUUGUAGCCCUGGUCACGUCUUUCGGAUGGUAACGUUGGAGGACGGUCCCAGAUCUAAAUGAGCUUUGAUCAUGAAGUGUUUAUAAUUUGCUUCCAGUAUUGGAUGCGUUAUUGAUUAUUUUGGUAUCAAAAUUUCAAAAUCCCCCCCAAGCAUCCUGUCCAUCAUCUCUCAAUAUGCAGUAUUUUGAACAUGAGUUUACCUGUGUGAUGAAGUGAUCUCUCCUACAUGCAACGAUGAAGUGAGGUGCAACUUUACGCAGUCCCAGAGCAAUGGUGCCCCCCCGCCCACACUUCUCCUUUUCUAAAAACAAAAAAAAAAUUGGAUAGGUCCUUCAUGCUACCCUCUUUUGAGCAUAUUCUAUUUCCUUUACACAGACAUCAACAAUGUUGUCUUUAUAUUGCUACCUGUUUGUGUAUAUGAUCUUUCAAUAAGGAGGGUAUACAACCGUAUGUGUAUGAAAUUUGACUGGUGUAAGUGUCCAUUCAGACUAAAUCAAGAAAAAUAUUCAAAUGCAUUUUAUAUUAUGUAUGUCACAUAUCUCUGACUGUUACAGUACAUGAAGACAGAUUAGUAGGGCAUUUUAGCAAUCACUUCGCCGACACUUUCUGUAAUGCAGAAAAUCUUUUGUCAAAAGCCCUUCAUACCAAAGCAGCCUUCGUCAAAAAUCAGUGAAUCAAAACAGCAAUGUCGUCCUGGUUGGUGUUUCAUAAAGUUAUUAGUAAGUUAAAAGCGACUUUACGAACGACUGGUGAUCCUUAUGCACUUAACCAUUGCCAAUGAACAUUUUGGUAUAUACCAUUUACCACAAGAAAGGACAACCAGUCAUUCCUAAAGUCACUCCUAACUUACGAACUGCUUUAUGAAACGGCCCAGGGGACAAACGAUAUAAAUGCAAUUUUUUGUCCUGUCCAAAUCUUGAGACGAUGUGCUGUCCCGGUCCACCAGCUCCCGACAAUGACCUCUAUUCUGUCCAUUGGGCAUUUUCAAUUGAUUCUGAACGUUGCAGAAAGCUACUGUGAAGUGGAUGUUAAAAUACGCUAUUGCUGGUGUGUGUGAACAAUGGCACAUUCUAACUCGUACCCUGCUCAUGUGCAUGUAGGCCAAUACCACAAUAUUACAGUGAUAUUACCAAUGCAAAGUAUUCAAUCAAAGUAUUUUCCAAAAUCCCAAUUCAUUUACAAUGUAUGCUUCAGAAAACUGCAAUGUUGUCGCAAUAUUUUGACCAAGGUUUACAUGAACAAGGGUCGGUCAGAAUGCUUUAAUGCACACAGUCACUGCUCACCAUCUCAAAAGAAAUGACUGUAUAACAAUUCACACAAAAAAAAUCUGUAACAGGGUUCCCAGUCAUGGAAAAUCCAUGAAAAAAUUGUGGUCAUGGAAAGUCAGGGAAAAGUCGGGGAAUUUGGAAAAUUUGUGAAAAGUCAUGGAAUUGCAUUUAUCUCUUGGCCAUGGCAACUUUCCAGUUUGUCGUGUCUCGCAACUCUCAUGCUCUGUGAUCAUACUCUGCUAUUAUAAUUGGUUUUCAUGAUUUCCAUUUUCCCAGUUUUGUGACAUGGCACAUAUGACCAGGGUACGAGUUUGCUUACUGCAAUGUAAUAGAAAUGUGGUAUUUUGUCUCUGUUGCUAUUUGCAAAAUAAGUGUUUACAAGGGAGGAAGUAAAAUACCUGCAAGUUCACUGAUCCUGUUCAUAUACGCUGUCAAAAUGAGUACAUCUAUAAAAUUGUUAGCGUAUAUGAUCAGGAUACCACAGUUGAGAAAUAAUGUAGCAGACUUGUCAUUGUGAAUGAGACUAUGUCAGAGGGAGGUUGUCUUUUGGGAUGGGAAGUGUAAGAUAUCUUUGAAAAUAAAACUGAAUUCUUUGAUUUGUUUUGUAAAGAAGAAAU